CUACUACUACUACAGUCUACAGUACAGUCAUUGUUCUUGCUUGUUUCUUUCUUUCUCUCUCUCUCUGUCUCUCUCUGCCACACAUCACACCCAACAGUCUCAGCAUUGCAGCAGCUGCAACCACUGCUCCUCCUGCUGCUUCACCCUGCAAACCAACAAAAUAAAACAUUUAACAAAAACAAAAUAUAUUAAAAGAGAGUAAAUAAAAUAAUGAAAAAAAAAAGGAUUUUGAUGAGAUAAAUGGGAAUGAAAGCAUGAUUUGAUGGUACCCAAGAGAGAGAGAGAGAGAGACCCCAUUUCACUCAUUCAUUCAAAGCCAGGAAACAAAAGUAAAAGGAAGAAAGAACCCAAAAAAGAAAGAAAGAAAAGGAAAUUCAUCAGAGAGAGAGAGAAAGAGGGUCUCUUUCUUUCUUUCUUUUUGGGAGUAUUGGGUCAGCUUCUUUUUAGCAAAUGCCAAAGUUAGCUCUCUGAAAAAAUGCAGUACCCAUCAUGAGAACAUGAAAUGAAAUGAAACCCUUCUUCUCUUUCAAAUCCCUCUCUCCAUUCCCCAUUCCCUCUUCUUCUCCACGCCAAGUCUUCAACUCCAAGUUGGUACCUUUUGCUACUCCAUUAGCAUUGUUCACAAGUUCUUUUCUUUCUUCUUUUAAAUUUUAAUUCUCAUGGCGGGUUUGAUUGAUCUGAACACCACGGAGGACGAUGAAACGCCGUCGUAUGGUUCCUACGCUGCUUCUCCAUCUUCUUCCUCCUCGCACUCGGGAACAAGCACUGCUUCUGUUUCAGCUUCAGCUCCUGUUGUUCCUGGUUCUUCUUCUAAUUCCGUGUGUUUGGAGCUGUGGCACGCGUGUGCAGGUUCAAUGAUCUCGUUGCCGAAGAAGGGAACUCUUGUUGUGUACUUCCCACAGGGACACUCUGAGCAGCAACUUCACGAUUUUCCUCUCUCUAACAACAAUAACAGCAUCCCACCCCAUGUGUUCUGUCGCGUUCUCGAUGUUAAGCUCCAUGCAGAGGAAGGGAGUGAUGAAGUGUAUUGCCAGGUUUUGCUUGUUCCUGAAAAUGAGCAAAAAUUUCAGGAAGGGGAUAUUGAGGCUGAUGGUGAAGAGGAGGACACGGAUGCUGUGAUGAAGGCAACAACACCCCACAUGUUUUGCAAGACUCUGACAGCUUCUGAUACCAGCACUCAUGGUGGAUUCUCAGUUCCCCGUCGUGCAGCUGAAGAUUGCUUUCCUCCGCUGGAUUAUAGUCAACAGAGGCCAUCACAAGAGCUUGUAGCAAAGGAUCUGCAUGGCCGGGAAUGGAAGUUUCGACAUAUUUACAGGGGGCAGCCACGAAGGCAUUUGCUUACCACUGGAUGGAGUGCAUUUGUGAACAAGAAGCAGCUGGUGUCUGGAGAUGCUGUCCUGUUUCUUAGGGGGGCAGAUGGUGAACUGAGAUUGGGAAUUCGUAGGGCAGGUCAAUUGAAAAGUGAUGGUAAAUUUUCAGUUCUCCCUCACCAGCAGUUGAAUCAUAGCACUCCUGUGGAAGUGAUUAAUGCUCUGUCUUCAAGAUGUGCCUUCAGUGUUCACUAUAACCCAAGGGUUAGUUCAUCAGACUUCAUCAUACCUGUCCACAAAUUCUUGAAGAGCCUUGAUUAUUCAUAUUCAGUUGGAAUGAGGUUCAGGAUGCGUUUUGAAACCGAAGAUGCUGCAGAUCGAAGAAUCACAGGAUUAAUUAUUGGGAUUAAUGAUGUUGAUCCUGUCAGAUGGCCCGGAUCAAAAUGGAGAUGCCUGCUGGUAAGGUGGGAUGACUUAGAAACCACACGGCAUAACAGGGUUUCUCCAUGGGAGAUUGAGCCAUCAGGUUCUGCUUCCACUGCCAGUAGCCUGAUGACAGCUGGUUUGAAGAGGAGCAAGAUUGGAUUGCCUUCAGCACAGCUAGAAUUUCCAGUUCCCAAUGGGAUCAGUACAUCAGACUUUGGGGAAUCACUAAGGUUCCAGAAGGUCUUGCAAGGUCAAGAAAUUUUGGGUGUUAAUAAUCCUGUCAAUGGUAUUAAUGCUCAGUGUCACCAAUUAUCGGAACUAAGAAGGUGCUAUCCUGGUACAACCUAUCCUGGAUUUACCACAGCAGGACAUGGUACAAUCCCACAAGUGAGUUCGGAUGCUUCCUGCAAUGGCAUAGGCUUUGGUGAAUCUUUCCGAUUCCAAAAGGUCUUGCAAGGUCAAGAAAUACUUCCAAGCCAACCAUAUGGAAAUGGUCGCCUCGGAGCUUUUGAUGGUUACCAGAUGCUAAGGUCCAGAAAUGGAUGGUCUGCGCAUAUGAAUAGCAAUUCUUCUCAUUUGCAUGCACCCUUUCCAUCUGGUCAACUGUCAUCUCCAUCAUCCGUGUUGAUGUUCCAGCAAGCAUUUAAUCCAGUUUCAAACUCUGAUUAUAGCAACAAAGCUAAUCAGGUGAAGGGUGGUAAAGCACUUCAACGAGGUUCUUAUGCUUCUGAAGUUGAUGGUGGAACGAAUGCUUCCUUCCCAUCUUAUGAGACAACUUUCCAUGGGAAAGCUCAGGAAGGAAAAAAUUCUUUCACUUUUUUAAAUCUGCAUGAUCAGUUGGGUGGUAGUCCACGUUCACCUGAUUCAAGAUCAGAGCCGAGAGGAAGUCAAGAGCUGGUUUCUUCAUGUAAAAGCAACUGCAGAGUCUUUGGUUUUUCACUAACUGAGGGUGCUCCCGUUGCAAGUGAAGAGACUGACCCCUCUACAGUCACUUUUCAAUUAAAUUCUGGGCCUUCUUUUACAAGACAUUGCCAAUGAAGGGCAUUCACGUAAGUGCAAGACAUUCUAUGAGACACUGUAUUUGAUAUGUCAUUCUAGUGCACUUGUCUUAAGAUAGAUUCUGUAGGUAAACGCUAAACAACUUCACUACCUGGAAUUGUUAGCACACAGUAUUUGACUUGUAUGAUUAGUGGAUUCAGUAACAAUUAUGAAAAGGCCAUUGAUUAGAUCACAAUAAGCAUGGAUCGUUAAUAACAAUGGUCAACUGCAGCAUUGGUUUCAAAGUUAGAAGAAAGCACAAUGCAUGUUAGCGAUGAUCACUGGGAUAAAUGUAGCAAAAGUGCAAUGUCUUUGGCAUAAUAAUUUAGGAUUUUGGGUACCAAAAUAAACGUUUAUAGACAUGUACCUGAAUUUGGCCAUUAUCCUGUGACCGGAUUCUUGUAUUAAUCUUUGUUUACUCUAACCUAUAUCAUGUUAAUGUACCUUUGAUGAAACGCAACAUGCAAGCACUUUGACUUAGAUUCAUAUACUUUUGGUGCUUUCUUGUUUCUUUGUACUUGUAUGAUUUGAGAGCAUGUCCCCCUAUAAACAACUAUGAAAACAUUUUGACCACGUGAGUCACUACUUUCCUAGUUUCACUCCUGCAAAUCUUGUUAGACCCACAGUUUUAUGUGAUUAUUAGAAAGUUGUGCUUGU